AAACAGCCUAAGGAGGAGCUGUUUAUAGGUUGUGCCUGCUGAGUGUUGGAGGUGAUGAAGUGCACACGCUGUUUGCCUCUCCUGCCAAGGAUAGGUACAACGUGGUCAUUCAGGACUGAGCAUAUUGCCAGUACACCUUCCUCCCCAGGUGGUGAAGCGAGCAGUCGAGCACUGUGCUAGUCAUAGCAGCACAAGUUAUUACAUACCAGCUCUGCCUUUCCGUUGGAUAUUUCCUACAUGUUCAUGUGGCUGCACUCCACUUGAUGCAGAACUGAAAACUUCAGCUGCUGGGGUAAAUGUCUCCACUGCCUUGCAGCUAGACAAUGAAUACAUCAGUCAGGAAUCAAAGGUUUGCAAAGUCAUUCAGCCCCUCCAAAUUAGAAGGCGAACCAUCUGCACGACAGGAUGGAGCUCUCCUCAAAGGCUGCAGGCCAGGGCUGAUCUCAGUGACACCAGGGUUUCUGGCUCUGGAAUAGCUCUCAGACACAACUGGAAUGCAGAUAUACUCUUGAACUGCAUCCUGAAAGAUGCCAAAAGACGUUACCCAACCCACCAAAAUGGUUUGGGGUCCACAUAUCAUAGUAAUGGACACAUCUGAGAUCUCCUUUUGGCAGCUGGAGGAGAAGGGAAUGCCACCACAAAGGAAGGAUUACUGAAGCAAGUUUCACAUUGUAUUCAAAGGGAGCACAAGUGCUGUGCAGUACACAUGUCACCACCACGACAGAACUCCUGUUUGGGGAAAUCAAGAACUGAACAGAUCCUUUUCUAUUUCCACUCAUUUUCAGGAAUACGUUCCUUGAAGAGUUGGGCCUAGCAAUAUGGCAGCGCACAUUCGAUAAGAAAUCUUGUAAAAUGCUGCUCCUGAGGACCACGUGCUCCCUGACCCAUUGCCUUGACCGCUGCACAAUUAUUGCAGGGCUAGAGCUUGCUGAAUUCUGGGUGCUGCUAAAUUGCAUUUAGGCUCCAACAUAAGAGUUGUCCUGAUUUUUUCAAAGACCCCGAAUCCCUGCAGCUCCCGUUCUUGGCACGAAUUUUGAGUCCUGAAAACUUUGGAAAGCUGGACACUUUUAAGCUCAUCAAAAGGUCUUAUUGCAUUAUAAACCGAACUAAAUCUAAGUUUAGUGUGUGCUAGAGCCUGCAGUGCAACGUUAAUGAUGCAGCAGUAUGGACUGGCACCAGGAGUGGGGAGACUGGCUGCUGCGCUUGCGUCCCGCUGCUAUUUCUGGCACGCAGAGGCUGCGCGGUGUGGGAUGGGUCAAACGGUAGCAGAUGUGGAUAACAAAAGUAAUAUGGACAUAGCAGCUUGCUUCUGAGGACCUCCAAACACUCCAAGGACACGGUGCUCUCUGCCUUCAAUACAAAGGAAACAUUUCAGUGGGAGCUGAGGUGUUUCUGCAAAUCCCACUAUGCACCCAUCAGGGUAUGUGGAUACAAGGAUACCUUUAAGCCCUAAGCAUCUUUGCAGUGCCCAGCAUAACAAAGAAACUGCCUUCUUUAUUUAUGUCUGUAUUUUGCGCUAGGUGCUUCCUCCCUGCAGCGAGUACCACCUUCUGUUCCCACAAGCACCUUUUGAAACCUGUGUGGAGUCAGGUAUUAGGCAUCACCAACCCCACUGAGGGGGCAAGAAUGGGUCUCAGGUAAGGCCCCGCAUGGCGAGGUGGGUGCUGGGUCUUUAGGGGCCAUACCUGCUCUCCGCAUUGUGUAGCGCAUCUCUGGAAAACGCAGGGAUCAGCCUCAUAAAGCACAAUGCAGA